ACCCUGUAGCUCAUUGGAUAGCGCAUUGGAGUUCUAAUCCAAAAGUCGUGGGUUUGAAUCCCACGUGGAAUG